UCCAUUUUGUGCUUGAAACAGGCCCCCUUUGUAAGGGGUGUUCUGUUUUGAGCUUGGAACACUUGAAAUGUCCCAUUUCAAGGCAGAAAUUCCCAACCAUGGAAUGUUCUGCACAUCUCUAGUUGCUGGACAAGUGACACACUCAGCAGGAAAGGGAGGGGGAUUGCAGGUAGAGGCAAUGGAACCAUAACUUCUGGAUUGUCUGUGGUAUGAUUCUUGACUUCCAAGGUUAACCUCAGAAUGACAGCUGGAAUACCUGAAAUGUAGCAGAUGUAUAAAUGGUUUCCCCACCAGAAUUGAACAUUGUUAAAAAUUAAACUUUUUUGUUGUGGCA